rnacentral:tRNA from 1 species
ACCUGGCUGGCUCAGUUGUUAGAGCUUCCGACUCUUGAUCUUGGUGUUGUGAAUUCGAAUCCCACGUUGGGUG